rnacentral:misc_RNA from 1 species
GAUGAAGAACGCAGCGAAAUGCGAUAAGUAAUGUGAAUUGCAGAGUUUUGUGAAUCAUCGAAUCUUUGAACGCACAUUGCGCCCCUCGGUAUUCCGACGGGCAUGCCUGUCCGAGCGUCGUUUGCAACCCAUCGAGUAACACUUCUCGGUCUUGGGCGCCGUCCGCCCCCUCGGGGGAUCGGACGGGCCCCAAAGCCCUCGGCGGCCCCGGGUGCCCCGCCGGAGCGUCUUCGAAAGCAAUCGCUCCGGCGCGUCGCGCCCCGGGACCACGCCGGCACCGCGGCCCCCCCCCCCAAAGGGGUCGCACCCCCAACACCAAACGUCUGACCUCGGAUCAGGUAGGGCUACCCGCUGAACUUAAGCAUAUCAAUAAGCGGAGGA